AAUUAAAAAUUACAUCUAUUUAUACUGUUAAAAACUAAUAUAACUAACAUAAUAACUAGACAGUGACAUGUACACUUCAUCCUAAUGUAUAUAGACUAAUUUUUAAUGGUAGAAAUGGAUGAAAUUUUUAACA
rfam:Gossypium hirsutum cultivar TM-1 unplaced genomic scaffold scaffold3310.1, whole genome shotgun sequence